rnacentral:rRNA from 1 species
UACAGAGGGGGCAAGCGUUGUUCGGAAUUACUGGGCGUAAAGGGCGCGUAGGCGGCCAACUAAGUCAGACGUGAAAUCCCCCAGGCUCAACCUGGGACUGCGUCUGAUACUGGAUGGCUCGAGUUCGGGAGAGGGAAGUGGAAUUCCAGGUGUAGCGGUGAAAUGCGUAGAUAUCAGGAGGAACACCGAUGGCGAAGGCAGGUCUCUGGGCAUUAACUGACGCUGAGGAGCGAAAGCAUGGGGAGCGAACAGA